rnacentral:tRNA from 1 species
AUACCUUUAGCUCAGUUGGUUAGAGCAGACGGCUCAUAACCGUCCGGUCGUAGGUUCGAGUCCUACAGUGUACA